rnacentral:rRNA from 1 species
AUGGUGGAGGAACCGUCCGCCAAGCGUCAUCAUGCCGAGACGUCGGACAAGAGGAGCAACCUCGUCGACAUUAACGUCCCCAGUGAGAAGCGCAACUACACCAGAACGCUCGAAGGGGUUGAGCUCCACGGCAAGGAGACGCUGGAGAUCGUCUGCACCAGCGUACUAGACAAGGCCGAUGAGAUGAUGAGCAGGCUCAGGACGAAGGGAGGCGGCUUGUAUUCGAGCUUCAUUGGAGUUGAUGUGGAGUACACCGACGAGGAAAAACCUCCACAUAUGGCGACAGUCCUGCAGUUGUGCGUCGAGGAACUCUGCUUGGUGUACCACAUCGCAGCGGCCACACAAUGGCCCAAGAGCCUCAAAGACUUCCUGCAGGAGGAGAAAUUGUACACAUUUGUCGGUUUCAGCAUUGGAGGUGACAAGCGGAAGCUGGAGAAGUCUUGUUUGGAAAUCAACCCCAACAACUUCAUCGACAUGCAGCGCAAGUGGAAAGAUCCAAAGACCGACAAAUACUACGACUCCUUGGCCGAUGUUGCAGGCGGCGUCAUCCACCCAUUCUACGAAGGCAUGAAGUAG